GAUCGCGCGUGACGCAAAGCUACCAAGGCAGAGCCGGCGCCCUGGCAACAGCGGCUGAUGGAUCACGGGAGCGCGCCCCAGCCAGAGCGGCCAGCUGUUCAUAUCCAUUCUGUGCUGUCAGCAACAUUCAACUUGAUUUUCUCAACUGAAAUAGAAACAUUAAAUAGAGGAAGAAUGCUUCAGGAACAUCAAAGAAAAUGUGGAAUAUUGGACUGCUAUGGCCCACAUUUUACAAUGUAUGUUUACAAGAUCCUUGUUUUACGCCAAAUGCUGGUAAAAUGAGGGAGAUAAUUGGAGUAACAAUGACCUCAUCUCUACUGAAGGCAUCUGUCAUCAUAUCACUAAGGUGGAAUGGUACACAGUCGUGAGGAGCUACUGGACUCUCUAUUACACAGAUUGCAGUAGUGGAGAGGAAUGCCUUCUUCCACUUUGACUGAUAGGAGACUGUGCCAGUUCCUCUCUGAUGAGGAUCUAGCCUUUGUGAUCCACAUCUUUGCACCUUCAAGUUAGAUUAUUGCAACGCAUUCUACAUGGAGCAGGUUGGGAGGGCCACAUGGAAGCAUGACUGGCAAAUUACCUUUGACGCAAGAAAGACUGAAGAACGUCCAUUACAUCAGUACUCUCUAUGUGCCACUGGUUCCCAUUUGGUUCCAGAUCCAAUUCAAGAUUAGAGUCUUAGUUUUUAAUGGUCUGGGGUCUAGUUUCCCUCAGGAUUGACUCUGGAGAUGCUCCAGAAAAUGAAGCCAAAAACUGGCUUCCUUUCAGGAAGGGGACAACGCAAGAUUCAUCUUUUCACACAACCCUUCCUUCAACGAUGAUGGUAUGAAAAUGUUCUGGUGAUACACCUUGCUGGGGAAAAAAGAAGGAACAAAGAAACGGUGAAAAACACAAAGUAAUACUGUCACACUGAAUGAUGAAGCCUAGAUGCCCUUUGUGGGAAAAUAUUUUUUAAUUUAGUUUUGUACAUAGUGCCCAGAAACCUUGUGAUGGUCACAUUAAAAUUUUUUUAAAGAUUAGUAAAUUCUUCGAUUAAAAUUUUUUCCCCAUUUGAAUCCAGUAAUAGGACAACAAAUUUAUUUUUGGCAGAAGAAAAGCAGUUAAAAACCUUUGUAAAUGUCAACGAUCUGGCACUACCAUUUGCCUUACCUGAUGCAAGCUGAAUGCAGUGUGUCACUAUAAAUCUAGGGAAGGUAUUUAUAAAUUGCAAAAGCCUAGAAGUGAGUGUGAGAUAGAUUAGAUAGAUGGCACUCUAUUCUGUGAUAGACAAAUAGUUCUGCAGUCGGGGAAUAAUUCUGUGGAAACAUAGAGUAUAACAUGGUAGACAAUACUGAAGACUCAAAGAACAGAUAGAAUAAUACCAUCCGCUACUUCCAUCAUAACAAAAUCCUCCUUUGGAGUCUCAGGUGGAGACUCCUUUCUCUAAUACCAGAAGCAGCUACAGGGUUUUCACGCUGCUUGGGGGAGAUACAGGCAUUCUUUCUCCUGUGUUACGGCUGUAGAAAAAUAUGAAACCUUGGACACAUCUGUAUAAUGUUCUAAAGAACUGGUUCGUGUGUGUAUGUGUCACUGCAUUCUGUCUGAAUGAAUCAAAACUCCUCAACUGUAUGUCAUAGGCCCUGUACUGCUAAUACCGAAUGGUUGCUUAUGCCUUAGUUCAAGUCUCUGGGACCUGUGCCUUUAGAGCAGGAGGAUCUCAGUUUUACUCCUGCUGUUGCUGUGACAGCCCAAAGAAGGCCAACAUUUUCCUUUCUCUUAUGAAAUGGAAACCAUAGUGAUUGAAGCAUGCUGAGACAGAAUGCAUUUACCGGAGACAGUGGGUAGCAGUUGUUUUUCCCUGCACACGAGUUUGCUUGAACUACUUAAUUAGUCACAACGUUUUCUGUAACUGAGGGUAGAACAAACUGUUACAGAUUUCAGUAGCACUAGAAAGGUAGUAGGGAAAUUGUGGAUGAAACUGAGAAACAUUUAAUCUAUUUUGGAGGUUGUGAGCAAAUUCAAGAAACAAAGCCCUAGGCAAAAGCAGCAGGUAGCAACCCGGGUGAAAGGGUAGUUCAGAGAAAUGGCAAAAGAGAGACAAUUGAAUGUACAACCUCAGCCAUGUGAAGCUCUUCCAGCGGGGCUGUGCUCCUGCUCUUCAAACAGAAUUCAAUGCUCUCCUCUCAAGAUAGAUAUUCAUUCUGAAAUAUUGGCUCCUUCAUAUUGCAUCAUCUUCCAUGCCCAUGGAAGAUGAUGUUAGUCAAGUGCUCUGUAAAGCUUACACCACCAUCCUUACCAAGAAUCUGAAUCCUUGAGUCCUGUCUGCUCCUCCUCUUUUCUGUUCUGUAUUUAGUUGAAUUUGGUGCUGUCCCCCCUCCUAGUACAUUAAUAGAUUUUAAAGCCAGAAGGGACCAUUAAAUCAUCUACGUUGACCUCCUGCAUAACAUAGGCCAUAGAAUUUCAGCUAGUUACCCCUGCAUUGAGCCAAAAUAACCUGUAGAUGACUAAAACAUAUCUUCCAGGAAGGCGUUUGGUCUUGAUUUGAAGACAGCCAGAGAUGGAGAAUCCAGCACUUCCUUUGCCUCCUGACUGCUCUAGCCAGCCUGUCUCGAAGGAGAUUGGUUUCCUGUCUACUGAGGUGGAGGCCACCCAAACUGUACAACUCCCUUUUCCUCUAGAAGGUGGACCAAUGUUCCACAAAACCAAAACUCUGCAGCCUACACCAUUUACCUAGACAGCAGUUCACUUCCAAUAUCUUCUGCUUGUAGCUAGUUAGUAGAUAUCAGACUGGACAAGAAAGCUGAAGUAAGGGUAAGGCACUGUGAUCUCUUAGGAUAUGAAAGAAAAGGGGCAUAGUUGAGAUUGUGGCUGUUUUAUGUGGGAAGUGUCACUUUAAUUCUCCAUUUCCUGGUUUCCUCAAAUCAGCACAUCAGGAAUCUAUCUGUACAAUUUGUGAAUUAUGGUUGAUGCUGUGAAGUUGUUCUGAUGAAAUUGCUGUAUUUUUGAAUGCCUCUGCCUAUGUGGAAUCCACCCUUUCCGGACAAGGGCUGUGUCAUGUCCUUUACAGACCAGAUACAAAAGUGUAUUGUUAGAACUUAAAGGCUGCUUAUUCAGAUGGUAACACCUUGGGACAGUGGGUUAGAUAGAGCUUAGGAGAACUAGUCUUCUCUUAUCUUGUCUGCAGGAGGCUGGUGAAGAAGAAUGAAAACACCAGCAACAGAACUAAGGAACCAGAUCUUGGUAGGGGAAUAUAUAAACUCAAGAGACUCUUGGCGACACGGAUUGGAAAUUUUGCGCAGGAAAGGGGAAGAAAUGAUCAGGUUUUCAUAGCAGGGGUUCCUGUUUAACUUUGGCCCAGCCACAGUGAGGGAAAGCUAGCUGACCUAGGGAGAGGCUCCAUGUUUCUGAAAGUAGACAUGAGCUGCAGGGGAAGGAUUCUGCACAUCCCAGAGGGCUGUGCCCAAGCCUAAAGAACUUUCCAGAGUGGUGAGGAAACCGAGGCAAGGAAAUAUGUGUAGGCAUGUUUAUUAUUUUGUCUAGAUCUUUGUAUCUCUUGUGCUGUGAAGUAAAAUGCAGUGGUGUUUUAGAAUCCUAUGCAAAGGCUGUCUGUGUAUCUGUUUGCUUUCACUAUCGCCAUGUCCCUGAAGAGUUAACCUGUAAAGCCAAUGUGCUCACAAAGGUGGAGUUCUGGAAAGGGAUGUGCAUAAACUACGCAGGAGACUGAGGGGUCAGCACUAAUCCCAGGGAUUGGGCAGUUGAACCUUGGGGCAGGGCCGGAUUAACUUUUUGCGGGCCCAGUGCCAAACAUAUUUGUGGACCCUCAUGGGGAAAGGUGCAGGGGGGUGGGAUGGUCAGUCUCCAGGGUGAAGGGUGGGCUGGGGGCAAUGAGGGACAGCGCGGAGGGAGCAGCCUUGC